rnacentral:tRNA from 1 species
GCCUCUGUUCCCUUGACCUGCCGAAACGUCUGAGACGCACGGGGCCUCCGGAGCCGUGUGCGCAGGUUCGAAUCCUGCCGGGGGCA